rnacentral:rRNA from 1 species
AGCGAACGCUGGCGGCAGGCUUAACACAUGCAAGUCGAGCGGGCACUUCGGUGUCAGCGGCAGACGGGUGAGUAACACGUGGGAACGUACCCUUUGGUUCGGAAUAACGCUGGGAAACUAGCGCUAAUACCGGAUACGCCCUUUUGGGGAAAGGCUUGCUGCCGAAGGAUCGGCCCGCGUCUGAUUAGCUAGUUGGUGGGGUAAUGGCCUACCAAGGCGACGAUCAGUAGCUGGUCUGAGAGGAGGAUCAGCCACACUGGGACUGAGACACUGCCCAGACUCCUACGGGAGGCAGCAGUGGGGAAUAUUGUACAAUGGGCGCAAGCCUGAUCCAGCCAUGCCGCGUGAGUGAUGAAGGCCUUAGGGUUGUAAAGCUCUUUUGUCCGGGACGAUAAUGACGGUACCGGAAGAAUAAGCCCCGGCUAACUUCGUG